rnacentral:lncRNA from 1 species
AUAUAUUAUUAUUCUUUUACCGCUUUUCCCCAUAAUAGUUUGGGGUCUACACUGUCACACUUGCACCACGUCAUCAAUAACAAGUCAAUCACAUUCCUUCUUUUUAAACAAAAGUAUAAUAAAAAUACUUUUUUACAAUCAUGAUGGAACAUAUAUUCUUAAAAAGAUUAAUUUGAUUGGUUUGUUACGCCACGUCACUAAUAUACCCGUUGCAUUCUAGAAUUUUUCCUACAUACGAAACCCUUCACCCAACCACAGUGUAGAGUUUGAAUUUAGUGCACGAAGAACGAGGCCGAUUAAAAAAAGGAAAACUUUAAACAAACCCUCUGUAGUUUCGUAAUUUCUCAUUUUAACGUCCUGUGGUUUAAAAUGUAUCAAUUUGCCCCCCCUGUGGUUUUGUUUUUCUCUUUUUCUUAUCAAUUUUAUUUUUUUUUUUCUUUAAAUUAGUAAUAAAGUUAAAAUUAAAGGGUACUAAAGUGAAUAUUUGAUAAAUAUAGAUGGGUAUCUGAAAUUUUUUGUAUAUAAUUUAACGAAAUAUUAAUGAAAAAACUACCGAAAAGAUAAAAACGAAACCACAGUGGGGCAAAUUGAUACACUUUAAACCACAGGGGGGCAAAGUGAGAAAUAACAGAACCACUGGGGGGUUUUUGAAGUUUU